rnacentral:rRNA from 1 species
GUUCGAACGCUCGUAGUCGGAUUUCGGGGCGGGCCGACCGGUCUGCCGAUGGGUACGCACUGGUCGGCGCGUCCUUCCUUCCGGAGACCGUGCCUACUCUUAACUGAGCGGGGGCGGGAGACGGAACGUUUACUUUGAAAAAAUCAGAGUGUUUCAAGCAGGCAGCUCGCUCUUGCAUGGAUUAGCAUGGGAUAAUGAAAUAGGACUUUGGUGCUAUUUUGUUGGUUUCGAACACCGAAGUAAUGAUGAGAAGGGACAGUCAGGGGCACUCGUAUUCCGCCGAGAGAGGUGAAAUUCUCAGACCAGCGGAAGACGAACCACUGCGAAAGCAUUUGCCAGGGAUGUUUUCACUGAUCAAGAACGAAAGUUAGGGGAUCGAAGACGAUCAGAUACCGUCGUAGUCUUAACCAUAAACCAUACCGACUAGGGAUUGGAGGAUGUUCACUGAUUGACUCCUUCAGCACCUUACGGGAAACUAAAGUCUUUGGGUUCCGGGGGGAGUAUGGUCGCAAGGCUGAAACUUAAAGGAAUUGACGGAAGGGCACCACCAGGUGUGGAGCCUGCGGCUUAAUUUGACUCAACACGGGGAAACUUACCAGGUCCAGACAUUGUGAGGAUUGACAGAUUGAGAGCUCUUUCUUGAUUUGAUGGGUGGUGGUGCAUGGCCGUUCUUAGUUGGUGGAGUGAUUUGUCUGGUUAAUUCCGU